rnacentral:rRNA from 1 species
AUGAAUGAGCCAAAGGAGAUGACCGGCGGAAGCAUUUCUACUGAGUGGUGCCAUGUUGCCAUGUUUUGGAUUCAGUAUGUAGAGGUGUUUUUGAUAGUCCCCCCGUUCCAUAUUAAGUAUAAAGUUGUACUACUAAAUCAGCGACAUUUAACAUGGAACAGAGGGAGUAGCAUAGGUGUGGGUCUAUGUGAAGUCGUAAAUUCGAUCCUUUUUGUUUCCUUCAAUGGAAAUUGUGAUUACUGUAUACAUCCCUCUGUUUUCUGCUCAUGUUGUAAACUCCUUGUUAGGUUCCACACGCGAAUUAACCCAGUACAGAUGAUUCGAGUUCAGAUACAUGAAUUUGGGGAAGGAGGGAGGAGGAAGAACAGCAGGUAG